GACGAACGCUGGCGGCGUGCCUAAUACAUGCAAGUCGAACGAACUCUGGUAUUGAUUGGUGCUUGCAUCAUGAUUUACAUUUGAGUGAGUGGCGAACUGGUGAGUAACACGUGGGAAACCUGCCCAGAAGCGGGGGAUAACACCUGGAAACAGAUGCUAAUACCGCAUAACAACUUGGACCGCAUGGUCCGAGCUUGAAAGAUGGCUUCGGCUAUCACUUUUGGAUGGUCCCGCGGCGUAUUAGCUAGAUGGUGGGGUAAUGGCUCACCAUGGCAAUGAUACGUAGCCGACCUGAGAGGGUAAUCGGCCACAUUGGGACUGAGACACGGCCCAAACUCCUACGGGAGGCAGCAGUAGGGAAUCUUCCACAAUGGACGAAAGUCUGAUGGAGCAACGCCGCGUGAGUGAAGAAGGGUUUCGGCUCGUAAAACUCUGUUGUUAAAGAAGAACAUAUCUGAGAGUAACUGUUCAGGUAUUGACGGUAUUUAACCAGAAAGCCACGGCUAACUACGUGCCAGCAGCCGCGGUAAUACGUAGGUGGCAAGCGUUGUCCGGAUUUAUUGGGCGUAAAGCGAGCGCAGGCGGUUUUUUAAGUCUGAUGUGAAAGCCUUCGGCUCAACCGAAGAAGUGCAUCGGAAACUGGGAAACUUGAGUGCAGAAGAGGACAGUGGAACUCCAUGUGUAGCGGUGAAAUGCGUAGAUAUAUGGAAGAACACCAGUGGCGAAGGCGGCUGUCUGGUCUGUAACUGACGCUGAGGCUCGAAAGUAUGGGUAGCAAACAGGAUUAGAUACCCUGGUAGUCCAUACCGUAAAUGAUGAAUGCUAAGUGUUGGAGGGUUUCCGCCCUUCAGUGCUGCAGCUAACGCAUUAAGCAUUCCGCCUGGGGAGUACGGCCGCAAGGCUGAAACUCAAAGGAAUUGACGGGGGCCCGCACAAGCGGUGGAGCAUGUGGUUUAAUUCGAAGCUACGCGAAGAACCUUACCAGGUCUUGACAUACUAUGCAAAUCUAAGAGAUUAGACGUUCCCUUCGGGGACAUGGAUACAGGUGGUGCAUGGUUGUCGUCAGCUCGUGUCGUGAGAUGUUGGGUUAAGUCCCGCAACGAGCGCAACCCUUAUUAUCAGUUGCCAGCAUUAAGUUGGGCACUCUGGUGAGACUGCCGGUGACAAACCGGAGGAAGGUGGGGAUGACGUCAAAUCAUCAUGCCCCUUAUGACCUGGGCUACACACGUGCUACAAUGGAUGGUACAACGAGUUGCGAACUCGCGAGAGUAAGCUAAUCUCUUAAAGCCAUUCUCAGUUCGGAUUGUAGGCUGCAACUCGCCUACAUGAAGUCGGAAUCGCUAGUAAUCGCGGAUCAGCAUGCCGCGGUGAAUACGUUCCCGGGCCUUGUACACACCGCCCGUCACACCAUGAGAGUUUGUAACACCCAAAGUCGGUGGGGUAACCUUUUAGGAACCAGCCGCCUAAGGUGGGACAGAUGAUUAGGGUG
rnacentral:rRNA from 3 species